rnacentral:rRNA from 1 species
CCCAGUUCGGACUGUAGUCUGCAACCCGACUACACGAAGCUGGAAUCGCUAGUAAUCGCGAAUCAGAACGUCGCGGUGAAUACGUUCCCGGGUCUUGUACACACCGCCCGUCACACCGUGGGAGUCGGGAAUGCCCGAAGCCGGUGACCCAACCGAAAGGAGGGAGCCGUCGAAGGCAGGUCUGAUAACUGGGGUGAAGUCGUAACAAGGUAGC